GACGAACGCUGGCGGCGUGCCUAAUACAUGCAAGUCGAACGGAAAGGCGCUGCGCUUGCGGGGCGCACGAGAGGCGAACGGGGGAGAAACACGCGAGUAACCUGUCCCUGACUUAGGGAUAACACUAGGAAACAGGGGCGAAUAUCGGAGAGGAGCUCUUGCAGCACGGGGGGGGAUGGAAAGAGUCGGCGGUGGGGGAUGGACUCGCGGGUUAUCAGCCUGUUGGGCGAGUAGGUGCAUACCAAGGCUAUGACGGGUAGCCGGCAUGGGAGGGUGACCGGGCACAUUGCGACUGCGAUACGGACCAGAAUGGUACGGGAGGCAGCAGUGGAGAGUAUUACACAGUGGGCGGAAGCGUGAUACGGCGGCGCCGCGUGCGGGAUGCCGGCUUUCGAGUUGUAAACAGAUUUCGAAUGUGACGAAGCGUGAGUGACGGUAAUAGGUAAGGAAGCACCGGCUAACUACGUG
rnacentral:rRNA from 1 species